AGUCCAUGAUAUGGACAUCUCCUACAAAACUCCUUGAAUCAUUCUCAUGCUUCAUAACAUGAUUCAUUAUCCAUAUGUAUAAAAUUAGUAAUAUUGUUAAACAUU
rnacentral:snoRNA from 1 species